rnacentral:snRNA from 1 species
GUGCUCGCUUCGGCAGCACAUAUACUAAAACCGGGAACGAUACAGAGAAGAUUAGCAUGGCCCCUGUGCAAGGAUGACAUGCAAAUUCUUGAAGCGUUCCAUAUUUUU